rnacentral:rRNA from 1 species
UACGUAGGUGGCAAGCGUUGUCCGGAUUUACUGGGCGUAAAGAGCGCGCAGGCGGUCGGAUCAGUCGAAUGUGAAAGCCCCGGCUCAACUGGGGAGGGUCAUUCGAUACUGUCCGACUCGAAGGCAGGAGAGGGAAGCGGAAUUCCCGGUGUAGUGGUGAAAUGCGUAGAUAUCGGGAGGAACACCAGUGGCGAAGGCGGCUUUCUGGCCUGUUCUUGACGCUGAGGCGCGAAAGCUAGGGGAGCGAACGGG